rnacentral:rRNA from 1 species
GAUCAUGGCUCAGGAUGAACGCUAGCUACAGGCUUAACACAUGCAAGUCGAGUGGAAACGACAUCGAAAGCUUGCUUUUGAUGGGCGUCGACCGGCGCACGGGUGAGUAACGCGUAUCCAACCUGCCCAUCACUUGGGAAUAACCUUGCGAAAGUAAGACUAAUGCCCAAUGAUAUCCCACGAAGGCAUCCGAAUGGGAUUAAAGAUUUAUCGGUGAUGGAUUGGGAUGCGU